CUGCUAUUGGUGUUCUGUGCAUUCAUGUUUUUCUGAGAUGUACUGUGUGUCCUGAUUUAAAUGAGACUUUUCCAGCUUUCAAGGACUGGCUUAGUAAAACCGGCUUAGAAAUUUGUUUUCUCUCUCACCUGGAGCCAUUCACGCCUGUUCCUGUUAUGCAGUUCAUGACCUGGUUGAUUGUGCUGAUGCAAGUGUCUGUGGGCGUCCACUGUAAAUUGAGUCACUCCAGCAGUCUGAAUUAAGAGGAAAAUCCCCUCUAUAAGGAGAAGCCAGAAGAUUUUCAGUACAGCUGCUUCUGAUGAUGGAGACUUUCCACUAACUCUUGAAACUGAGAUCAAACGGACUCAUGAAAUAUCUUGAGGCAAGCAGCAAAAUCCUGACCCCGCGGAAAGUGCAAUGUGGCAGGGGCUAUAGCUCUGGGUUUCUCAGCAAGGCAAAGCUGCAACCGAGAACAAGCCAGGGUUGGCUCCAGUGGCAGCCUGGAGGGGCUGGAGGCGCUGCCCGCAACGUGGUGUCUCCCACGUCUCGUGUUUGGCCUGAUGUCCUCAACUUUCCCCAUGCGCCCCCAGCAAACCCAGUCCAGGGAUGGCCUGUCCCAUGCGAGGAGGUGAGGGAAGUGCCCCAUCCGGAAAAGACUUGGGAGAAGGGAAAGGGGAGGGGAGUUGUUUUUGGAAGUGAAUGGUAAAAUAGACUAACAACAAAACAGGAGGCAACUGAAAACUAGCCAUAAACGUGCACCAGACCAUUGGCAUUAUCUAUCGCAGGAACGAUAUCACAAUCUUCCUUACAACCUCCACUGUGAUAAAAGCUUCCAAUUUUGGUCAGCAUUCAGGAAUAGCAGCUCUUCCUGCUCCUCUAAAGCAGAACCUCCUUUUGUACAUGUUUGUAAAAUGUAGAAUACACUUGCAGGGUUCCCUUAAUAAGAAGUAGGUUUUCCCACUCCAACAACCAAUGUCUUAGGUGCCUUUCUCUUAUUCAGUAAAAGAUAUGCCACGUGUCUUGGAAAGCUGCAGUCCUCUUUUCACAUCUGUAUCAACAGUUUCCGGUCGACGUUCAUCACGCUGUUCUGAAAUACAAAGUCUAUGUCAGUCUUUUGUUAUUAGGUGCAAAGCGCUAUUUAAGUAAAGAUUACUAGAUGAAGUCACAGCCUAUACGAUAGGUAAAAACUAUGUAUAAGUGAAAUAAAUGUAAUAAAUUUACUGAUGAUGGGAGAAGU
rnacentral:lncRNA from 1 species